CAUAUGGAUUGUGUCAGCAGCCGCGCGGUAAUACGAAGGGACCUAGCGUAGUUCGGAAUUACUGGGCUUAAAGAGUUCGUAGGUGGUUGAAAUAGUUGGUGGUGAAAUCCCAGAGCUUAACUCUGGAACUGCCAUCAAAACUUUUCAGCUAGAGUAUGAUAGAGGAAAGCAGAAUUUCUAGUGUAGAGGUGAAAUUCGUAGAUAUUAGAAAGAAUACCAAUUGCGAAGGCAGCUUUCUGGAUCAUUACUGACACUGAGGAACGAAAGCAUGGGUAGCGAAGAGGAUUAGAUACCCUCGUAGUCCAUGCCGUAAACGAUGUGUGUUAGACGUUGGAAAUUUAUUUUCAGUGUCGCAGCGAAAGCGAUAAACACACCGCCUGGGGAGUACGACCGCAAGGUUAAAACU
rnacentral:rRNA from 1 species